rnacentral:rRNA from 1 species
AUUGAACGCUGGCGGAAUGCUUUACACAUGCAAGUCGAGCGGCAGCGCGGGGGCAACCCUGGCGGCGAGCGGCGAACGGGUGAGUAAUACAUCGGAACGUGUCCUUAAGUGGGGGAUAGCUCGGCGAAAGCCGGAUUAAUACCGCAUAAGCUCUGAGGAGGAAAGCGGGGGCUCCGUAAGGACCUCGCGCUGUUGGAGCGGCCGAUGUCGGAUUAGCUAGUUGGUGGGGUAAAGGCCCACCAAGGCGACGAUCCGUAGCUGGUCUGAGAGGAUGAUCAGCCACACUGGAACUGAGACACGGUCCAGACUCCUACGGGAGGCAGCAGUGGGGAAUUUUGGACAAUGGGGCAACCCUGAUCCAGCCAUUCCGCGUGAGUGAAGAAGGCC